rnacentral:misc_RNA from 1 species
GAUGAAGAACGUAGCGAAAUGCGAUAAGUAAUGUGAAUUGCAGAAUUCAGUGAAUCAUCGAAUCUUUGAACGCACAUUGCGCCCGCCAGCAUUCUGGCGGGCAUGCCUGUUCGUGCGUCAUUUCAACCCUCGAGCCCGACUUCCUUGCGGAGGACGGCUCGGCGUUGGGGGACGGCACACUCCCCCCGGCUCGCCGGGGACGCCGCCCCCGAAAUUCAGUGGCGGCCCUCGGAGGCGACCUCUGCGUAGUAACUCAACCUCGCAAAGGGAAGCUCCGAGCGGCCACGCCGUGAAACCCCAACUAUAUCAAGGUUGACCUCGAAUCAGGUAGGACUACCCGCUGAACUUAAGCAUAUCAAUAACGGAGGA